UCCAAAUAUUUUGAGUAAAAACUUGGAGCAACCCUUUAAGCUUCUUUGCCUUUGAUCUUGUUACUGGUCUGCUGAAACUUUCCAAGUUUGGGACUGUAUUUGUGUUUACAUCAAUUGAAAUUAUCUCCAAGUCACCUUUUGAUACUCUUUGAGUAUCUUGAGUGUUUUUAGCUUUGUUUAAAUCAGUUCAGUUAUAUGCAAAUUCAGCAAUUGGUACACAAUCCUCCUAACUCUUGAGAUUCUUUUUGAUUAUUGCCCUUAGGAGUGUACCAAGAGUUCGAUUUAUCACCUCCGUUUGUCCAUCU
rnacentral:lncRNA from 1 species